CCUACGGGAGGCAGCAGUGGGGAAUUUUGCGCAAUGGGGGAAACCCUGACGCAGCAACGCCGCGUGCGGGAUGACGGCCCUCGGGUUGUAAACCGCUUUCAGCAGGGAAGAUAUUUACGUUACCUGCAGCAGAUGCCCCGGCUAACUACGUGCCAGCGGCCGCGGUACUACGUGGGGAGCGAGCGUUAUCCGGAUGCAGGGGGCGUAAAGCGCGCGUAGGCGGCUGCCUAAGCGGAACCUCGACCCCCGGGGCUCAACCUCGGGCCGGGGGGCGAACUGGGCGGCUGGAGUGCGGUGGAGGAGGGCGGAAUUCGCGGUGUAGCGGUGGAAUGCGCAGAUAUCGGGAAGAACACCGAUGGCGAAGGCAGCUCUCUGGGCCGGCACUGACGCUGAGGCGCGAAGGGUGGGGGAGCGAACAGGAUUAGAUACCCGAGUAGUC
rnacentral:rRNA from 1 species